rnacentral:lncRNA from 1 species
UGUUGUGAGCACAAUAUAUUUAAUUGUGCGCACAAUAUGUUUAAGUUGUGCGCACAAUAUAUUUAAGUUGUGCGCACAAUAUAUUUAAAUUGUGCGCACAAUAUAUUAUUUUGUGCGCACAAUUUAUUUAAGUUGUGCGCACAAUAUAUUUUUUUUUCUUUGCAUGUCCCUAGCGGGGCUCCGUACAAAACAAACUACUGUAACAAUCAAAUCCAGGUAAAAUUAGAUAUUUCAGUGGUAUUCAUAAUUUCUUUACUUUAUGGUCGUGUAAAAGAAAGAAAACAAGACGAAAAAAUUGGGUCGUAUAUUGCAAUUGGAUAUUUGCACAUUGGAUAAACCAAUUGCU